rfam:Ovis aries breed Texel chromosome 2, whole genome shotgun sequence.
UCCCUUGUAGCUCAGUCGGUAAAGAAUCUGCCUGCAGUGCAGGAGACCUGGGUUCGAUCCCUGGGUUGGGAA